rnacentral:ncRNA from 1 species
CUUCAGGGCGGGGUGAAAGUCCCCACCGGCAGUAUAGUCUGCGAGCCCCCACGGGCCGAUCGGGUGCGAUUCCCGAACCGACGGUUACAGUCCGGAUGAGAGAAGAU